CUGUGUUCCUGAUCCAGGCAAGGGGAGAGACAAACACCUGAUAACUGGGAAAUGGUUUUCUCAGCUGUGCUUAAGGUUUACAGAAUGGGUGGAAUAUUUUGAUCCUGCUUUCUCUGUGAAUGCAGGGUGGUGGUGGACUCUUAGGACCAUGUGCACCACCAUCAUGUUUCUCUCUACUCUGGCUUUUGUACUGCGCCAGCAUUUCUUCAGCCGAAGUAAGACCUUUCCAAAAGGCUCGCGGGAGAAGGAGUCACCAUCGGUGGAGAGCAAAGACACUGACAAGUGACACUCACUUAAUGGACAUCCAACGCAGAGCUGGGUUUUAGAUGUGGAAGCCGUGCUCAGGUCCAUGGAAAGACAGCUGAAUUCUCUUCUGGAGAAAUGUCCUCAUUCGAAAUGUGGAAACAGCCCAGUGGUCCUCCAUCUCCUUUAAGCCACAGCAGGUCUCGCUCCAGUCAACAAGCUGAUCCGUAAAGUCAACUUUAGAUGCUUUUCAACUUUCUGACAGCAAAACGAAUCCCAUAUUUUGCCCCAAACAGUCACUUGGAGUAGACAGACUUUGAGCACCUCUUGUUGACGGUUUUCCUUUAUUCCAGCGACAAAGAGCCCACAGAAGUGUACGCUCUGUGCCACGAGCACCAAACCUGAUAUGAUUGGCAGCAUUGUUUGAGGUUUUUUUUGGCUUGCUAAAAUCCUUGUGCAAUAAUCUCUCCUUAAGUAGUUGUUUGACAUUACAGGGAGGAAAGCAAUUUCACACCCGGUUGUAUCAUUACUCAACUGUUCCAUAAGCGAUGAAAACCUGACGGUCUCUGGAAUGACUGAAAAACUUUCUGUCAUUA